AGCAGCCGCGGUAAUUCCAGCUCCAAUAGCGUAUAUUAAAGUUGUUGCAGUUAAAAAGCUCGUAGUUGAAUUUCGGGAUCAAUAUGUUGGUCGUGCCUUGGUACGUACUGGCAUUAUUGGUUUCUACCUUCUGAAGAACCUCGAUGUCAUUAAUUUGGUGUCUUGGGGAAUCAGGACUGUUACUUUGAAAAAUUAAAGUGUUUAAAGCAGGCUCGCGCUUGAAUACAUUAGCAUGGAAUAAUGAAAUAGGACGUUUGAUUCUAUUUUGUUGGUUUCUAGGAUCGACGUAAUGAUUAAUAGGGAUAGUUGGGGGCAUUAGUAUUCAAUUGUCAGAGGUGAAAUUCUUGGAUUUAUUGAAGACUAACUACUGCGAAAGCAUUUGCCAAGGAUGUUUUCAUUAAUCAAGAACGAAAGUUAGGGGAUCGAAGACGAUCAGAUACCGUCGUAGUCUUAACCAUAAACUAUGCCGACUAGGGAUCGGAUGAUGUUAAUUUUUUAAUGUACUCA
rnacentral:rRNA from 1 species